GUCAUGGUGAGCAUGGUGUCCAGGCUUUUUGAGAGGAGGCGCCCUGGUGAAGGUUUCCUGCUCCUACAGACCAUCUGGAGACUCUCCAGCUGACCUGCCUACUACUCCUGUGACUGAAGUUGAAUGGAUUUGAGUGGAUAAAGGGUGACAAGUGUUUGAAAGAUUCUACUGACUUCGAGCCAUUGCAAUAAGGA